rnacentral:lncRNA from 1 species
UCUCAGCAUAUGUUCGAUUUAGUGAAUCUGAGUCAUCUAGCCUUCAAGUGAACUACUAUGUCUUUCCACUAAGUUUGAUAUUGAUUUGAGUAGUUGUUUUGCAAAUCAUGCCUUGAUUAUUCAGAGAGACUGGUGCUCAUGACCCCAAUGCAUUUAUGAAAGAUGAGUGGCUUGAGGCAAAUAUUAUUUUGGCUUUGAAGGCUAAAAGUUGAUGGUUAUGGCCUAAUAAAUUGAAGGUUGCUGGGUGCUUUAUGUCAUUCCUGAGGGAAUUAAUUCUAAAAGCUGCUCUUGGACCUAUCUGGACUUGUCACGUGGCAAGUCAUGAGAAGUUCCAAAAUGUUUCGUGCAAAUUGAUUCAUGGGAUUGAAGAUUCAUAGAGAUUUCAUUAUUUCAGAGCUAUCCAUAUGGCAUGAUUCGAUAGUUUGAUGAUGAGAUCCACACCAUUCAAGGCCCAUAUAAAUAGACCAUUUGUCUACUAGAUUUUUGCCAUCCAAUUGAUAUUCUCUGUUGCUGCAUUUUUUCAUAGAGAGUCUUUUUCCUUUCUACCAAUCAAGAAGCCAUGGAUUGUGAAACAGGCAGUGA